rnacentral:rRNA from 1 species
UACAGAGGUCUCAAGCGUUGUUCGGAUUCAUUGGGCGUAAAGGGUGCGUAGGCGGCGCGGUAAGUCGGGUGUGAAAUCUCGGAGCUUAACUUCGAAACUGCAUUCGAUACUGCCGUGCUAGAGGACUGGAGAGGAGACUGGAAUUUACGGUGUAGCGGUGAAAUGCGUAGAUAUCGUAAGGAAGACCAGUGGCGAAGGCGGGUCUCUGGGACGGUACUGACGCUGAGACGCGAAAGCGUGGGGAGCGAACAGG